GAUGAACAACGCAGCGAAAUGCGAUAAGUAGUGUGAAUUGCAGAAUUCAGUGAAUCAUCGAAUCUUUGAACGCACAUUGCGCCCCUUGGUAUUCCAUGGGGCAUGCCUGUUCGAGCGUCAUUUGUACCUUCAAGCUCUGCUUGGUGUUGGGUGUUUGUCUCGCCUCUGCGUGUAGACUCGCCUCAAAACAAUUGGCAGCCGGCGUAUUGAUUUCGGAGCGCAGUACAUCUCGCGCUUUGCACUCAUAACGACGACGUCCAAAAGUACAUUUUUACACUCUUGACCUCGGAUCAGGUAGGGAUACCCGCUGAACUUAAGCAUAUCAAUAAGCGGAGGA
rnacentral:misc_RNA from 1 species